UAGACGAAACUUUGUCCUAUGAGGAGAAACCUGUCCAGAUCCUAGACCGCAAAGUGCGAAGUACGAGGAAUAAGGACGUCAGAAUUGUCAAGGUGUUGUGGAGAAAUCAAACUACCGAGGAAGCCACAUGGGAAGCCGAAGAUGCAAUGCGUCUGAAGUACCCUGAGCUUUUCCAAGAGGUACGUGAGUUACGGGGACGUAACUUUUCUUUUAAGGGGGGGAAGAAUGCGAUAGAAUUUCGCGCUUUCACCCUAAAGUAUGUUAAUUAUGUUGAUUAUGUUAGUUAUAUGCUAGUUAUGUGUGAAAAUUGCUUAUCUAUUGUGUGAACGUUAGAAAACGCUUGUGAAAUUUGGGACUUAGAAGUGCAAAAGAUCGUCGUUAAGACGGGCUACCUCAAAGUUUCGGGACGAAACUUCUUUUAAGGGGGGAAGCCUGUAAUACUCCGUAUUUUUAAUACUAAUUUCGUACUAAUUAAGAAAAUAUAAAAGAAUUAAUAAAAAGGUAUUUUAAUUUUAUUUACAAGUUAAUAGGAAUAAAUUAUUAGUAAUAUGAAUUUGUUAGGAAUUUCCGGAAUUUUAAAAGAGUAACCUAAUCGACCUAGGGUUACUACCUUUUGGAAGGGAGUAUAAAAAGGAAAAGAAGAUGGAAUUUCAGAAAAAAAAAAACCCUAAACCCUUUCUUCUCCCUCUCUCCCAGCCGACUUUUCUCUCUCCUCACUCUCUCCUCAGCCGAUUUCUCUCUCUCCCUCUCUCUCAGAGUUUUCUUUCUCUUUAUCUCGGAUCUCUUUCUCUCUCGCUGUUCUCCCUCUUUCGGGAUUUCUCUCCUUGUGCUCUUCGUCUCCCUCGCCGUGUUGGUGCGAAGGGUGUUCGUGGUUCGAGUGCGCAGGCGAGGAGGGUCGAGAUUCGGUGCGAGCCGGUCGCGAAAGAGCGGUUCGAGGGUUUUGUGUGGUUCGAACGGUGCGCAGGCGUCAAGGGUUGAAAGCUUGCGCGAGUUCGUCGAAGGGGUCGAGUUGUGCGCGAAGGUGUUCGAGGGUAGUGCGCCAAGCUAAGGUGAGGGUGCGCGAGAAAUCGCGUCGUGCGAGUGUAGCUGCGCGACAGGUUGCGAGAAGGUUUGUGUGAGCGUGGUUCCGCGUCGUGCGAGCGUGGUGGCGCGACGGAUCUGGGUCGCGCAAGGGGGUUUGGGCGACGGAAACCGGUUUCGGUGUUGUGCGCGUGUGUGGUGUGGUUUUCGGUCGCCGGAAUUCUUUCGCCGGCGAUUUCUAACGGUCCCAAUUUCAUAAGCGGCUCGUUCUAUUAAGUCAGCGAAAAUUCUCCGUUACAAGACUAGGUGAGCUGGUGCUGCUGCAUGACAUCAAGCAUAUGGGGGCUAGACUGUAGUUUGAAGUUAAUUUUUGGUUUGAUCAUUAAUGAAUUUUAUAGAACAUUAUUACAUGGUUUGAGUUUGAAUAAAGAGGGGUCAUCUAUGAUUCCCGAGUUGUAAUUACAUUUUCUAUUCCGCUGCAAUUUGGUUUUGAGACAA